CUAAAAAAUCGAAGUUAUACGUAUAAAAACAAAAGGCAGAAACACAUUGUAUCGAUUAUUUGUUGUUUUUGAGGACUUGAAGCAAACAGAAACACACUGUCCCACAUCGAGCAAUAACUGUGAAGCAUCUUCUUGAAAAAAUGUUGGAAUCCAACGAGAUGCUCGUUCAAACAUUGCUCAUUCUUUUCUUUAUUCAUCAGGACUUGAGCGAAACGAUGAAUCAUGACCGUGUGAUCAUAGCUUGCUAGAUUGUGACUGUGGAGGAUCGUUUCUUAACCAUGGAUGGUCCUGCGGUUGUCUGACAGGCCACCACUCCCACGAAGCCCAUUAUUAGAGCUCCAACGGCAAAUCCCAAGUUCUCCUUUCUUUCUUUUUUCCCCCUAUAGUUUCAGUACACAGCAAGAUAGCUUCUGUAGCGAUUGGCUUCCUGUUAUACCAUGAGCACUCCCAAGCAAAAGUCGUUGUUCUUGGCGGUCAUUUUCACUUCUCUUCGAUACUUGUCGGUCUAUUCCUUUGAAUACCAAAUCGGCGGCAACGAAAACUGGGUUGUCCCUCCUGCCAUUGAUACCAGAAUCUACGUUGACUGGGCCUUAGGGAACCGAUUCCAAGUUGGAGAUACCUUUUCCUUCAAUUUCCUGGGUGUUCAUCUUUUUUUGCGCAGGUUUCAAGUAAAGGAAGGAUUCCGUCAUGAAGGUCAGGGUAGAGGAUUGCAAGAAGUGCCACUCCCGUCACCCCAACUUCUUUUCCAACACUGUUUACUAUCUUAAUUAUCCAGCGUCUUCCUACUUCAUAAGUGGGGUUUCUGGACACUGCGAGAAGGGACAAAGGAUGAUCAUCAUUAAGGUUAUCUCAACUGAUCAAGAGACUAAUUCAAGUCUGCAGCUUUUCCUUCUGCAGGAGUGCUAGUGAUUCGGUGCCUGGAAAAUGCUCUUAUCUCAGCUUGUUUCAUUCUAACAAAAUACCACCGCUAAAGCACGGCAGCCGCUCAGGGUCUUCCUCGUACCUUCAUAUUACUCUCCCCUUGGAUACUACCGGGGCUUGAAGCAAAAAGACGAACAGAGCGUUUUCCUUGGGAUAAAAACACCUAGGACCACAUUUGUACCACAUCGAAAAAGAGUUAAGAACCAAUAUAGUUAAUAAAUUGUUCGAGGAGCCCGUAACUGCACGACCUUACUUGAACAGGAUCUGUUCUAUAGGAUCGUACCUCUGUAUCCUUAAUCACUAAGGAGACAGGAACCUAAGCCUGGUUGAGGAACCAUGACCGCGUGAUCAUAGCGUGAGUAAUGGCUAGAUGGCCCUCGUGAUCAUCUUGGCUGUAGAGGAUCGUUUCCUAGCCGCUAACCUGGCUGGGAAUGGUCACGCGGUUGUCUGACAGGCUUCUGCUCUUCUU